AGUGAACGCUGGCGGUAGGCCUAACACAUGCAAGUCGAACGGCAGCACAGUAAGAGCUUGCUCUUACGGGUGGCGAGUGGCGGACGGGUGAGGAAUACAUCGGAAUCUACUUUUUCGUGGGGGAUAACGUAGGGAAACUUACGCUAAUACCGCAUACGACCUACGGGUGAAAGCAGGGGAUCUUCGGACCUUGCGCGAUUGAAUGAGCCGAUGUCGGAUUAGCUAGUUGGCGGGGUAAGGGCCCACCAAGGCGACGAUCCGUAGCUGGUCUGAGAGGAUGAUCAGCCACACUGGAACUGAGACACGGUCCAGACUCCUACGGGAGACAGCAGUGGGGAAUAUUGGACAAUGGGCGCAAGCCUGAUCCAGCCAUACCGCGUGGGUGAAGAAGGCCUUCGGGUUGUAAAGCCCUUUUGUUGGGAAAGAAAAGCAGCAGGUUAAUACCCCGCUGUUCUGACGGUACCCAAAGAAUAAGCACCGGCUAACUUCGUG
rnacentral:rRNA from 1 species